rnacentral:lncRNA from 1 species
CCUGGCCUCUGAAGACUUCUUAUCUGUCCUUUUGAUAAGAUUAAGGCAGGGCCCAGUUGAUCUGCAGAGCUGGAUGUGCCCUGAGGCCAAAACCUGAGAAGGGAGGGGGGCCAAGAGUAUUCUGGCUGCUACUAGGCUGCUUUCUCUGAGCUUCUCCUCCAGCUGCCUCCCUGACGCCUGUGUUGAAUGUCCUGAGCCUGGCACCGCUGUGACUGCAAGUGGAUUUGUGAUCUCCCUGAUAUGGUCAUUCUCUUCAACUGAACAGACUGAAGCCCGUCCAUACCAAGCUUCCUUUGUGAUCCUCAUUCAUUUAUUCAUCAUCUGGCUUGGGUAAAGAAUCCAUUACUUUCCAAUGAUGUGAUUUUCUGAUCUUUAGUGAUCUGAAAGAGCCCAUAAUUGGGUCUGGAGUCUAUUAGGAUUAUUUAGAAAAAACAUCAAGAGGUGAGGAACAUCAGGGACAAGAGAGGAGGCUGCUACUGAAACCUAAUGAUUAGGA